GGCCCCGUCGUCUAGUGGUCUAGGACACUUGGUUCUCAUCCAAGGAAUCAGCGGUUCAAAUCCGCUCGGGGUCACCA
rnacentral:tRNA from 1 species